UUAUGGUGGUGAGGACAAACUCUAAGAAGACCCUUAAACCUCUCCCACGCUUGAUACAAAUUUUCUCCCUCUUUCUGCCUGAAUGACAUGAUCUCCCUUCUGAGUUU